CUGGUUCUCUAGGGAGCAUGUGCACGCCUUGUCAUCUUUAUAUCUCCACCUGUGCACCUUUUGUAGACCUUCCAGGUCUAUGUUGCUUCAUUUACCCCAAUGUAUGUUAAUAGAAUGUUGUGCCUACAAAAUACAUACAACUUUCAGCAACGGAUCUCUUGGCUCUCGCAUCGAUGAAGAACGCAGCGAAAUGCGAUAAGUAAUGUGAAUUGCAGAAUUCAGUGAAUCAUCGAAUCUUUGAACGCACCUUGCGCUCCUUGGUAUUCCGAGGAGCAUGCCUGUUUGAGUGUCAUUAAUAUAUAUCAACCUCUCUCUUGUUGGAGUGGUUUGGAUGUGGGGGUUUGCUGGCCUCUUAAAGAGUUCAGCUCCCUUGAAAUGCAUUAGCAGAACAGACCUGUUCAUUGGUGUGAUAACUAUCUACGCUAUUGAAUGUGAGGGGAAGUUCAGCUUUCUAACUGUCCUUGGACAAAUUAUCAUUUAUGUGACCUCAAAUCAGGUAGGACUACCCGCUGAACUUAAGCAUAUCAAUAAGCGGAGGA
rnacentral:rRNA from 1 species